rnacentral:rRNA from 1 species
UAGCGGAGGAAAAGAAACCAACAGGGAUUGCCUCAGUAACGGCGAGUGAAGCGGCAUAAGCUCAAAUUUGAAAUCUGGCUCUUUCGGGGUCCGAAUUGUAAUUUGUAGAAGAUGCUUCGAGUGUGGUUCCGGUCUAAGUUCCUUGGAACAGGACGUCAUAGAGGGUGAGAAUCCCGUAUGUGACUGGAUACCUUCAUUCAUGUGAAGCUCUUUCGACGAGUCGAGUUGUUUGGGAAUGCAGCUCAAAAUGGGUGGUAAAUUUCAUCUAAAGCUAAAUAUUGGCCAGAGACCGAUAGCGCACAAGUAGAGUGAUCGAAAGAUGAAAAGCACUUUGGAAAGAGAGUUAAACAGUACGUGAAAUUGUUGAAAGGGAAGCGCUUGCAAUCAGACUUGCGCCUAGUUGAUCAUCCAGGCUUCUGUCUGGUGCACUCAAUUAGGCUCAGGCCAGCAUCGGUUUGGGUGGUUGGAUAAAGGCCUUGGGAAUGUAGCCCUCUUCGGGGGGUGUUAUAGCCCUCGGUGCAAUGCAGCCUACCUGGACCGAGGAC